rnacentral:rRNA from 1 species
GACGAACGCUGGCGGCGUGCCUAAUACAUGCAAGUAGAACGCUGAAGGCGGAGCUUGCUCUUCUGGAUGAGUUGCGAACGGGUGAGUAACGCGUAGGUAACCUGCCUGUUACCGGGGGAUAACUUUUGGAAACGAUAGCUAAUACCGCAUAACAGUAGAUGUUGCAUGACAUUUACUUAAAAGGUGCAAUUGCAUCACUACCAAAAGGCCCUGCGUUGUAUUAGCUAGUUGGGGGGGUAACGGCUGACCAAGGCGACGAUACAUAGCAGACCUGAGAAGGGGAUCUGCCACACUGGGAUGGGGACACGGCCCAGACUCCUGCGGGAGGCAGCAGUAGGGAAUCUUCGGCAAUGGACGGAAUUCUGACCGAGCAACGCCGCGUGAGUGAAGAAGGUUUUCGGGUCGUGAAGCUCUGUUGUAAGAGAAGAACGAGUGGGAGAGUGGAACGUGCACAUUGUGACGGUAUCUUACCAGAAAGCGACGGCUAACUACGUG